rnacentral:ncRNA from 2 species
AACUUAUCGGGAGAGACCCUUCAAAAGGGCGCCGAAGAUGCAAGCGAUGCCUUGUCGGAAGCAGCGCGAAACUUUCAGGCAAAAGGACCGAAGCGG